rnacentral:rRNA from 1 species
GGAAUUUUCCGCAAUGGGCGAAAGCCUGACGGAGCAAUACCGCGUGAGGGAAGAAGGCUCUUGGGUUGUAAACCUCUUUUCUGAGGGAAGAAAAAAAUGACGGUACCUCAGGAAUCAGCAUCGGCUAACUCCGUGCCAGCAGCCGCGGUAAUACGGAGGGUGCGAGCGUUAAUCGGAAUUACUGGGCGUAAAGCGCACGCAGGCGGUUUGUUAAGCUAGAUGUGAAAGCCCCGGGCUCAACCUGGGAAUUGCAUCUGUGACUGCAUAGCUAGAGUACGGUAGAGGGGGAUGGAAUUCCGCGUGUAGCAGUGAAAUGCGUAGAUAUGCGGAGGAACACCGAUGGCGAAGGCAAUCCCCUGGGCCUGUACUGACGCUCAUGCACGAAAGCGUGGGGAGCAAACAGGAUUAGAUCCCCUGGUAGUCCACACCGUAAACGCUGUCUACUAGCUGUUUGUGACUUUAAGUCGUGAGUAGCGAAGCUAACGCGAUAAGUAGACCGCCUGGGGAGUACGGCCGCAAGGUUAAAACUCAAAUGAAUUGACGGGGGCCCGCACAAGCGGUGGAGCAUGUGGUUUAAUUCGAUGCAACGCGAAGAACCUUACCUACACUUGACAUGUUGAGAAGUUACCAGAGAUGGUUUCGUGCCUUCGGGAACUCAAACACAGGUGCUGCAUGGCUGUCGUCAGCUCGUGUUGUGAAAUGUUGGGUUAAGUCCCGCAACGAGCGCAACCCCUAUCAUUAGUUGCCAUCAGGUUAAGCUGGGAACUCUAAUGAAACUGCCGUCGCAAGACGCGAGGAAGGAGGGGAUGAUGUCAAGUCAUCAUGGCCUUUAUGCCCAGGGCUACACACGUGCUACAAU